CCCAGCUGCUGGAGCUGGACUUUCAGGGGUCAAAAUGGCUAAUAGGACUGGAAGCGUUGAUGAAUUUGAAAUUAAACCCGUUGGAGACAAUCAUAAUCAAGGACGGUUGGCAGUUGGCAUCUUGGUCGCUGGAUUUGUUUUCGAGGAGGAAGAUUUUAUGAAACCAUGGGAAGAAAAGGGUAACUUAGAGAGGUAUGCAUUACAGUGGGAUCCAAAAAUUUGAUUGCACUCAGCACUGCGAUUCAGGACUGCUUAACUUCAAGAAUUGCGUUCGAGUUGAUGAAACAAGGUGCUACGAUGACUGUGUUAAGCACGCUUUUGGCAGCAUUAGCUUGGCCAGCUACAUUACUUACCGCUACUGAUCUUAUAGACAGCAAGUGGUCGAUUGCAGUGGACAGCUUUGCACUUAACCAAGUAUUACAUCCAAGAUCUAAAGCUGCUAUCUCUGUAUGGAUCUGGUUAAUUGAAUGAUGCUCAUGAGAUCAGAAAGGUUGGAGAACAAAGCAGCAAAGCAGCAGCCAUUAGGUCCCUUAGCAGCUGCAAGAUUUGUAAGUUAUAAUGUAGUAUCUCCUUAUAGAGAUUUAAGUUAGAAGAACUUAGGAUUUUCAGAACUUAGGAAUUUCAGAACUUUCUACAAACUGAACUUAGGAAUUAAGUAUGUUUCUGUGUAUUAUGUCCGUUAAAUGAAUGACAUAGUUUGUAUCAAAUACUCAUACUUGUUGUUAACUUCAAUUGAAGAAUUCUUUUUUCAUAA